AACGAACGCUGGCGGCAGGCUUAACACAUGUAAGUCGAACGGGCGUAGCAAUACGUCAGUGGCAGACGGGUGAGUAACACGUGGGGAUAUCCCUUUCAGUUCGGAAUAAAUCAGGGAAACUUGAGCUAAUACCGGAUACGUCCUUCGGGAGAAAGAUUGAUCGCUGAGAGAUUAGCCCGCGUCUGAUUAGCUAGUCGGUGAGGUAAUGGCUCACCAAGGCGACGAUCAGUAGCUGGUCUGAGAGGAUGAUCAGCCACACUGGGACUGAGACACGGCCCAGACUCCUACGGGAGGCAGCAGUGGGGAAUAUUGGACAAGGGGGGAAACCCUGAUCCAGCCAUGCCGCGUGAGUGAUGAAGGCCGUAGGGUUGUAAAGCUCUUUUGCCAGGGAAGAUAAUGACUGUAUCUGGAGAAUAAGCCCCGGCUAACUUCGUGCCAGCCGCCGCCGUAA
rnacentral:rRNA from 1 species